GACGAACGUUGGCGGUGCGCUUUAUACAUGCAAGUCGCACGCGAAAGGCCCCUUCGGGGGCCGGAGUAAAGUGGCGAACGGGUGCGUAACACGUGAGCAACCUGCCCGGAAGUGGGGAAUAACUCCGAGAAAUCGGGGCUAAUACCGCAUGUCGCCUAGGCUCCGCAUGAAGCCAUGGUGAAAGUCGGCCUCUGCUUGCAAGCUGGCGCUUCUGGAUGGGCUCGCGGCCUAUAGCUAGUUGGUGAGGUAAUGGCUCACCAAGGCUACGAUGGGUAGGGGGCGUGAGAGCGUGGCCCCCACAUGGU
rnacentral:rRNA from 1 species